AAAACUUUCAACAACGGAUCUCUUGGUUCUCGCAUCGAUGAAGAACGCAGCGAAAUGCGAUACGUAUUGUGAAUUGCAGAUUUUCGUGAAUCAUCGAAUCUUUGAACGCACAUUGCGCCCUUUGGUAUUCCAAAGGGCAUGCCUGUUUGAGCGUCAU
rnacentral:rRNA from 1 species